GGAUGCCUCAUCAUCUCUGCUGAUUUCCUUAAUCCUGUUCUAGACAUUCAGACCAGGAUUUAUAUCAUCAGCCCUACUGCUUCCCAAGCCUUCAGACUCAUCCUGGGACUUAACAUCAUUGGCUCAUACAUCUUCAGGUUUUGUUUGGAACUAUAUCAUCAAUACUACUGGAGCCUCCAACUUGCUAACAGCAGAUUACAGAAUUUUUGGUUUCCACAAUCAUGUCAUGUUAGCCUGCAAUUUGCCAUUCACUAGGACUUCCAUAGCUCUUCUCUCAGCUUCCAUUUCUUCAGCUUCAAAGAGCCAAAACCCAGCCAAAAGCCUGAGGACAGCAAAUGUGGCAGAUGCAGCCGAUGGAGCCCAAAAACCUUGGCCUUCCAGGGCACAAGGCCAGAUGGAGAAGGACAGAGAGUGGAUAUGACAGACAGAGGAUGUCCGUACACAAAAGGCAGGAACCAGUGGCCA